rnacentral:lncRNA from 1 species
AAUGUACCAAUCCAUGUAUGUUGACCAAAUGACAUUGAAAGUCAAAGUCAAACAAUGAGAAAUCAGAAAUGAGAUGAAGAUUGGAGGUCAAACAAUAAGCAAAAUAUUUUUGGCAUUUUUAAUAUUAAAAUAAACUUGAAUUAAAAAUAAAAGGAAGGUCAAACUUCAAAAUCACUUCAAAUCAACCUUGAAAGGUCCAAGUGAUUUAUCCUAAGUUCAAUAAGGUCAAACAAAGUUUGACAAAAAAUUUCAGCAUUUUUAAAAGUC